AGUGAACGCUGGCGGUAGGCCUAACACAUGCAAGUCGAACGGCAGCACAGUAAGAGCUUGCUCUUACGGGUGGCGAGUGGCGGACGGGUGAGGAAUACAUCGGAAUCUACUUUUUCGUGGGGGAUAACGUAGGGACACUUACGCUAAUACCGCAUACGACCUACGGGUGAAAGCAGGGGAUCUUCGGACCUUGCGCGAUUGAAUGAGCCGAUGUCGGAUUAGCUAGUUGGCGGGGUAAAGGCCCACCAAGGCGACGAUCCGUAGCUGGUCUGAGAGGAUGAUCAGCCACACUGGAACUGAGACACGGUCCAGACUCCUACGGGAGGCAGCAGUGGGGAAUAUUGGACAAUGGGCGCAAGCCUGAUCCAGCCAUACCGCGUGGGUGAAGAAGGCCUUCGGGUUGUAAAGCCCUUUUGUUGGGAAAGAAAAGCAGCAGGUUAAUACCCCGCUGUUCUGACGGUACCCAAAGAGUAAGCACCGGCUAACUUCGUG
rnacentral:rRNA from 1 species